rnacentral:rRNA from 1 species
UACAGAGGGGGCAAGCGUUGUUCGGAAUUACUGGGCGUAAAGGGCGCGUAGGCGGCCUGUUAAGUCGAACGUGAAAUCCCCGGGCUCAACCCGGGAACUGCGUCCGAUACUGGCAGGCUUGAAUCCGGGAGAGGGAUGCGGAAUUCCAGGUGUAGCGGUGAAAUGCGUAGAUAUCUGGAGGAACACCGGUGGCGAAGGCGGCAUCCUGGACCGGCAUUGACGCUGAGGCGCGAAAGCGUGGGGAGCGAAACAGG